rnacentral:rRNA from 1 species
GUGUCAGCAGCCGCGGUAAUACGGAGGAUGCAAGCGUUAUCCGGAAUUAUUGGGCGUAAAGCGUCCGUAGGUGGUGGUUCAAGUCUGCUGUCAAAAACUGGGGCUUAACCCUAGAGCGGCGGUGGAAACUGAACUGCUAGAGUGUGGUAGGGGCAGAGGGAAUUCCCGGUGUAGCGGUGAAAUGCGUAGAGAUCGGGAAGAACACCGGUGGCGAAAGCGCUCUGCUGGACCACAACUGACACUCACAGGACGAAAGCUAGGGGAGCGAAUGGGAUUAGAAACCCUCGUAGUCC